GCCCGGCUAGCUCAAUCGGUAGAGCGUGAGACUCUUAAGUAUUCACGAUCUAAUCAUUCGAUUACAUGGCAUCUCAAGGUUGUGGGUUCGACCCCCACGUCGGGCU
rnacentral:tRNA from 1 species